rnacentral:lncRNA from 1 species
UUUUUUGGUGGUGGUGGUGUGGUAUGCAGGAGUGGGAGCCACAACUAUAAUCAGUUUUUGCUCUAAAACGUCUUAUUACAUUCCGAGGUAUUAACAAUGGGCAUGACUGCCCUCAGCUUGAUUGUGCCUCAGCAAACCUGAGUCCUAAUCAGCCUUUUGUACACAGAGGUCUUUUAAUUUUUGUUUACUUUCUGAGGGGGGGUGAUGGGAGGCAGUUGCCACUGCCAAUCCUCAAGAUCCCCACAUUUCUGGACUGUCUCUGGCCCAUUCCACCUCUGCUUGCUAAGUGACCAAUUCUUUUCUGAGCACAUCAGUAUCUUGUACUAUGUUGCCAGACGCAGCCCACAGUAGUCACUGUAUAAUACUAACAAUCUGUUUUCAAACCUCCUCUCAGAUAUGCAAGUUUCAGGGACUUUAUCUGCUUCUAAGCUGUCACAGGCAACAAUUUUCAAAUAUUUUGCCACUUGUAAUAUGGAUUGCUUGUAAAGUUUCUUCAUUGCACAUCAUUUGGCCCCAAUCCAAUGCCACAAAUUUUAGGUUUUUGGUUAUAGCAGCUCCUCAUUUCUGGGUAGUACUGCUGAAUUGGUUCAGAUAAACUAGAUUAUGCCAUGCCAUGCCACCAAACAGAUAAACCCCCAUAUAUCAGAGGAUUAGAACAACAAAAGAUGGUUUAUCACUCAUGCUACAUUUAUAUUUCUUUGGCUGGGCUCCAUGUCAUCUCACUCUGGAACCCACCUUACUUGGACAGAGCAGCCACCAUCCUGAGCACUGGCCAUUGUGGCCCUGGUAAGGAAGGACACAAGGAAGGGGCUUCCUUCACAUUUGAUGUAAUGUUUUAGUCUAGAAGGGAUACACAUUACUUCUGUGUACAAAUCCUUGGUCAGAACUCUUGCCUGCUCUAACCACAAGAGAGCUGGAGAGCACAAUCUCCCAUUCCUGAAAGGUAGAGAACUAGAGACAUCUGGGAAACAGCACUGGUGACUUUUUUCAGUAGUGGACUGCCACAAAGAAGCAGGCUGCAAAAGUGUGAUACUAACAGGCUCUCUCAGGAUCCUCCCUGAAUGAUAAGGAAUUCUUUAUAGAUUUAUUUCUUGGCAUGGUUAGUCAUUUCCUAAGGCUGUUGAUUUGCAUGGCACAGAUGUCUAAUGCAUUCCUUUUCCAAUAUACAGCUUCACUCAAGUGAAAGCUGUUAGAUUUUUCUCUAGUGGAUUCCAGAGUAUCACCAUUACCAUCACCAUUUUGUAGUUGAUAUCACUAUCAUUGUCUUCGUCAUCAUCAUCAUCCUCCUCCUCAAAAUUUUGGCUAAGUAAUUAAAUAUAAAUGAUGCUUAUCUGUAGGAUAUGCACUUGCAUUUGUCCUUCCCCUGUCCACUCUGGUCCCGGAGAAUGCCUAGAAGGAGGAAAAUGGUCAUGGUGCUUCCAAAAACUAGAUUAGUAGAAGGGGAUUCUAGGACUAAGACUUACCCUAUCAAGGGUCAGAAGAGGACUGCAAACAGUUUAUAAGACUAGUGGACGCUACUGACAGGAAAUUUCAAGUCAUUGAUUUCUUUUUAAUCUAAUUCUUAGGUGACCAAAUUUCUGUGUGUGUGUGUGUGUGUGUGU